GCUCGGCCUGUAAUUGACUUUAUACUCAGUACAUGGCCGACUACACCAUUGGAUAGUAGGGCACCACCCUCCCAUGGCUUUAUCUUGCCGACUCUGAUAACAUGGGCCUCUGCCGACUAACUGAGCACCGAACAUGGCCGUCAUGCCAUUUUGACAGACCACAUCAAGGUCAUAUCACUCAGACGUCAUACUUUGGCCGACUAGCUGUAUGCCGUGAUGGGAUGCUAUGAAUUCAUUAAAUGCGCCCACA
rnacentral:lncRNA from 1 species